rnacentral:rRNA from 1 species
GACGAACGCUGGCGGCGUGCCUAAUACAUGCAAGUUGAACGCUUCUUUCUUAUCGAACUUCGGUUCACCAAGAAAGAAGAGUAGCGAACGGGUGAGUAACACGUGGGUAACCUGCCCAUCAGCGGGGGAUAACACUUGGAAACAGGUGCUAAUACCGCAUAAUACUUUUUCUCUCAUGAGUGAAAGUUGAAAGGCGCUUUUGCGUCACUGAUGGAUGGACCCGCGGUGCAUUAGCUAGUUGGUAGGGUAACGGCCUACCAAGGCAACGAUGCAUAGCCGACCUGAGAGGGUGAUCGGCCACACUGGGACUGAGACACGGCCCAGACUCCUACGGGAGGCAGCAGUAGGGAAUCUUCGGCAAUGGACGAAAGUCUGACCGAGCAACGCCGCGUGAGUGAAGAAGGUUUUCGGAUCGUAAAACUCUGUUGUUAGAGAAGAACAAGGAUGAGAAGAGAAUGUUCAUCCCUUGACGGUAUCUAACCAGAAAGCCACGGUUAACUACGUGCCAGCAGCCGCAGUAA